CAGGAAUAUGUGGUGGCUGGAUCCCUCUCCACGCCCCUUCUGGAAGUCCUCACAUUAUGGGGCGAGCUUUCGCCUGGAGAGAAGGGCGCAGGGUCAGUGGGACUGCCGGGCUCGAGCUGUAGGAGGAGGCAUCAUACCCAGCGCAGAGGGAGCAGGAGUUUAAGUGUCAUGAGAACGUCUGCCCACGAUGAAGCUGUUCGAGCUCUGCAGUAUAGGAUGUGUCAAGAGCCCUAAAAAUAUAUUUUUGAAGACUUGGAAAAGGAGAUUGAACAUAAACGAAGGGCACAAAGCUUUCUCAAAACAUUGACAAACCUUCAAUAUGCAUUUUUCUUAGAAUUUGGAAAGAUGCUUUGGAACACUUCAAUAAAAGUGAGAAAUCACAGACUUCUAAUUUGGAUGAAAGUAAACGUAUUGUGUCAUCUUUAAAUUUAUUAAAGAACUGGGAGCAACAAAAGUAUAGAGAAACUGGAUCCUUAUGCUGCACACCCGAAACUAAUGUAACAUCAUGUAUCAACUCUACUCAAAUGAACAAAUAAAAAAUGAAAAUGCAAAACCAAGCCAAAAAAGAACUGAGAGCAAAUUCAGCUUACCUUGCACCUGUCUCCCCAACAUCACCAUCUCAAGACAUUCAUUUAGACAGGAAUGUGGCCACGACUAGGACAAACCCAAUGGUGCCCAGAAGGACAAAAAAGUGCUGGAAGAUGGAAAAGCAUAGGUGGGGCCCAGCCUUCUCUCUGCCACCUCCAUCAUCAGGCAGUCGGGAUGACCAUUCCUGGGGCGCCCCAUUGUCACCUCCUUGGAGGACCAGAGGAAACCAGAGUUUGCAGCCUUCCUUCUGGGAGACAAAGUAUGGUGGCCGUGAGAGAUGGAAGGUUGAGAA